UGACUACACUGCACAUCCCGUGGGAGGGAUGCUCUUGUAUCUGCUAAAGACAUUGCGGAGGCGCCCUGCAGUGACCCACGAACGCAGUGGCUUUUUAAAACCCAAGGGCGUGAGGGUGGAGGGUGAUGCGAGGACUUCAGGAGAGGCCCUAAGGUAACUUCUGAGGGCAUGGGACUUGGCGGUAAAAACAGAGAAGGUGCUGUGGACCCCAUUUUCGGAAGAAAACUGUUUUCCUCACAGAAUCCCAGGAAUUGAAAGCUGAUGGAUACCUCUCAAAAUCUGUUUUUGUCUUCUGGCUAUGCCUGUUUAUUAGGCUGUAGAAAUUGCAUGCUCUCCUAGCGGUGCUUUUGAAAGCCUCCAUCCUGAGGCCAAUAAUCCAAUUAUGAGAUUGGCAAAUGAAAAAUCUUACAAUUACUGUAUCUUCUUCUAUCUGUCUGUAUAGUUAUAUAUGUGUUAUAUGUGUGAUAUUUAUAAAAAAGAGCUCUAAUUGAUUAGCCUAAAGAAAAACAAGUGCUUAGACCAAAUAUUUUGAAGGAAAAAUAAAAGCUGUAAUGCCUUUUAGUUCACGUGACUUUAAUCUUUGAGAAAUAAAA
ensembl:lncRNA novel transcript